rnacentral:rRNA from 1 species
AGAGUUUGAUCCUGGCUCAGGAUGAACGCUGGCGGCGUGCCUAAUACAUGCAAGUCGAGCGAACAGACAAGGAGCUUGCUCCUUUGACGUUAGCGGCGGACGGGUGAGUAACACGUGGGUAACCUACCUAUAAGACUGGGAUAACUUCGGGAAACCGGAGCUAAUACCGGAUAAUAUUUCGAACCGCAUGGUUCGAUAGUGAAAGAUGGUUUUGCUAUCACUUAUAGAUGGACCCGCGCCGUAUUAGCUAGUUGGUAAGGUAACGGCUUACCAAGGCGACGAUACGUAGCCGACCUGAGAGGGUGAUCGGCCACACUGGAACUGAGACACGGUCCAGACUCCUACGGGAGGCAGCAGUAGGGAAUCUUCCGCAAUGGGCGAAAGCCUGACGGAGCAACGCCGCGUGAGUGAUGAAGGUCUUCGGAUCGUAAAACUCUGUUAUUAGGGAAGAACAUACGUGUAAGUAACUAUGCACGUCUUGACGGUACCUAAUCAGAAAGCCACGGCUAACUACGUG